AAAAGAGGGAACAAGCAGAAAAGAGUUCCUGGUGGGCGCUAACUGGAAGCCUCCUUGAGGGUGGAAGUGGGAAAUACGAGUUGCUGUCGAUCAAACUGGGGCCACUACACAAGGGCUUCCCUGGUGGCGCAGUGGUUGAGACUCUGCCUGCCAAUGCAGGGGACACGGGUUCGAGUCCUGGUCUGGGAAGAUCCCACAUGCCGCGGAGCAACUGGGCCCGUGAGCCACAAUUACUGAGGCUGCGCGUCUGGAGCCUGUGCUCCGCAACAAGAGAGGCCGCGAUGGUGAGAGGCCCGCGCACCGCAAUGAAGAGUGGCCCCCGCUUGCCACAAUUAGAGAAAGCCCUCGCACAGAAACGAAGACCCAACAUAGCCAUAAAUAAAUAAAUUUUUAAAAAACAAAA